GAUGAAGAACGUAGCGAAAUGCGAUACGUAAUGUGAAUUGCAGAAUUCAGUGAAUCAUCGAAUCUUUGAACGCAUAUUGCGCUCUCUGGUAUUCCGGAGAGCAUGCUUGUUUGAGUAUCAGUAAACACCUCAACUUCCAUAUCUUUUUUGAAAUGGGAGUUGGACUUGAGUGAUCCCAAAGCUUUUCCUCACCGAAAAGUGGCGGGUUACUUGAAAUGCAGGUGCAGCUGGACUUUUCUCUGAGCUAUAAGCAUAUCUAUUUAGUCUGCCUAAAAAACAGAUUAUUACCUUUGCUGCAGCUAACAUAAAGGAGAUUAGUUCUUGUGCUGACUGAUGCAGGAUUCACAAAGACAGGCUUCGGCCGACUUUGUAAACUCGAUCUCAAAUCAAGUAAGACUACCCGCUGAACUUAAGCAUAUCAAUAAGCGGAGGA
rnacentral:misc_RNA from 1 species